rnacentral:rRNA from 1 species
AUGGAUGCUAAAGAACAAAGAAGAAAGAGAGAUAGAGAACGGUAUGCACGGAUGACCAAUGAAGAAAGGCAGAAGUAUAAUGAACAAAAAAGAAAGAGAGAUAAAGAGCGGAAUGAACGCAUGACCGAUGAAGAAAGGCAGGGCAAACUCAAAAAACGCCGUGAAGCCUAUCAUCAAAAGAAAAUUUCAGGAAAGACACCAGAACAGAAGGCGGCAAAAUGCGCACAAGAAAAACAAAAAUACGCAACCAUGAAGCCAGAACAAAAGAAAGCAAGAAUAGAACAAAUUGAAGCUCAUCGUCAAUUGACACGCAGCAUACCAUCCAAAGAUUCGAUUGCAAUGGAGAACCCUAAAUAUGUCGCAACCGAACAGGAGGUUAGUACUUCUAAAAUUACUGUAAAACACAGGGAUCAUGUGGCAGCAGGAGAAAGGCAAACAUUACUACACCGUCGUAACGAAGAAUUCACGAGAAGACGGAAGCGAACUGUUUCCGUAUCAUCAAAAGAAGAUGCAUCCAUGACACAAGCCUGCGAUGAAAACAAUCAAACUCUAGAGCAGCCACAAGUUAUGACUUACGGUAACAAUCUCGAUUUUAUACUCACAUUCCAAGUAAAUAUAAAUCUGUCUGUACAACUAACCAUCUAUUUUGGACAGACGUCCCCUCCUCAAUGUUUCCAAGCAUUAGAGAAGCAGAUUCAUCAACACAAUCUUUAG